rnacentral:rRNA from 1 species
UGGGGAAUAUUGGACAAUGGGGGCAACCCUGAUCCAGCCAUGCCGCGUGAGUGAUGAAGGCCCUAGGGUUGUAAAGCUCUUUCGGCGGGGACGAUAAUGACGGUACCCGCAGAAGAAGCCCCGGCUAACUUCGUGCCAGCAGCCGCGGUAAUACGAAGGGGGCUAGCGUUGCUCGGAAUCACUGGGCGUAAAGCGCACGUAGGCGGAUCUUUAAGUCAGGGGUGAAAUCCCAAGGCUCAACCUUGGAACUGCCUUUGAUACUGGGGAUCUCGAGUCCGGAAGAGGUUGGUGGAACUGCGAGUGUAGAGGUGAAAUUCGUAGAUAUUCGCAAGAACACCAGUGGCGAAGGCGGCCAACUGGUCCGGUACUGACGCUGAGGUGCGAAAGCGUGGGGAGCAAACA